GGAAUUUUCCGCAAUGGGCGAAAGCCUGACGGAGCAACGCCGCGUGAGGGAUGAAGGCCUCUGGGCUGUAAACCUCUUUUAUCAAGGAAGAGGAUCUGACGGUACUUGAUGAAUAAGCCACGGCUAAUUCCGUGCCAGCAGCCGCGGUAAUACGGGAGUGGCAAGCGUUAUCCGGAAUUAUUGGGCGUAAAGCGUCCGCAGGCGGCCUUGUAAGUCUGUCGUCAAAGCGUGGAGCUUAACUCCAUUUAAGCGAUGGAAACUGCAAGGCUAGAGUGUGGUAGGGGCAGAGGGAAUUCCCGGUGUAGCGGUGAAAUGCGUAGAUAUCGGGAAGAACACCAGUGGCGAAGGCGCUCUGCUGGGCCAUAACUGACGCUCAUGGACGAAAGCCAGGGGAGCGAAAGGGAUUAGAUACCCCUGUAGUCCUGGCCGUAAACGAUGAACACUAGGUGUCGGGGGAAUCGACCCCCUCGGUGUCGUAGCCAACGCGUUAAGUGUUCCGCCUGGGGAGUACGCACGCAAGUGUGAAACUCAAAUGAAUUGACGG
rnacentral:rRNA from 1 species